rnacentral:rRNA from 4 species
GCGCUUACCACUUUGUGAUUCAUGACUGGGGUGAAGUCGUAACAAGGUAACCGUAGGGGAACCUGCGGUUGGAUCACCUCCUUACCUUAAAGAA